rnacentral:rRNA from 1 species
CACGUAGGGUGCGAGCGUUGUCCGGAAUUAUUGGGCGUAAAGAGCUCGUAGGCGGUGUGUCACGUCGGCCGUGAAAACCUGCAGCUUAACUGUGGGCGUGCGGUCGAUACGGGCAUCACUGGAGUUCGGCAGGGGAGACUGGAAUUCCUGGUGUAGCGGUGAAAUGCGCAGAUAUCAGGAGGAACACCGGUGGCGAAGGCGGGUCUCUGGGCCAAUACUGACGCUGAGGAGCGAAAGCGUGGGGAGCAAACAGG